UAGUCUGCAUGUGACUGUUCAUUGAUGGUAGGGCCUGCUCAAUGCCCUAAGGGGUAAAUAGCCGCUGUAUUUUGACGGUGCUAAGGUAGCGAAAUUCCUAGCCUCUUAAUUAGAGGCCUGCAUGAAUGGCUUGACGAGCGCCCUUCUGUCUCUUUUUUGUGAAAUUUGAAAUUAUCUUUUGUGUGAAAAGUCACGGAUUACUGAGAAAGACGAAAAGACCCUGUGCAACUUUACUAAAGAUUUGGUUUAGCUGGGGCAGCAAGGGAAAAGAUAAAAUUUCCAUUCAUAUAUUUAAUACCGGUGAGUUUAGAUCCGAAAUAGUGAUCGUUCAAUAGAAAAGUUACGCCAGGGAUAACAGCGUUAUCCCUCUGUGGAGGCCUUAUCUGCAGGGGGGAUUGCGACCUCGAUGUUGAAUUAGGGAUAUAGCGGAAGGGCGUAGCGGCUCUUUUUGUAGGUCUGUUCGACCUUUAAAACCCUACGUGAUCUGAGUUCAGACC
rnacentral:rRNA from 1 species